rnacentral:tRNA from 1 species
GGAGAGAUGGCUCAGUGGUUAAGAGCACUGACUACUCUUCCGGAAGUCCUGAGUUCAAUUCCCAGCAACCACA